CCCAGCUACAGCAGAUCAGCAAGAGAAUCAGGCUGUCUGGUUUGGAAAAUAAAUUUUGACACUGCUCUGUCCUCCCUGUCCUGUAACGGGCCAACCUCCCGAAGAUGCAUAAAGACACCUUUGCCGUUGACCAGGCAGACCCUGAAUCCAUAGGACAUAGAGAGAAAGGUGCUCCCUGAACACUGAUCUGGGUAAGCAUUGCUGGGUCAGUGCAGAGGUGUCUAUUUCCGCAGUCCGCCGAGCUGGCCUAAAGCUGAGGACCUCUUAGUGGGAGCUGAGGACAUGUGCCUGAAGAGGCAACCCCUUGACUGAUGGAAAUUGGAGUCUGAGUUCCAUGUGGGGGACUGGGAAGCACAGCAAGGUCUGAAAUGGGAGACCCAGGGGAGGGCAGAGAGGAGUGUGGGAAACAGCCUGGACGCAACAGCCGGGGGAGGAGGCCUGCUCUGGCCCCAGUGGCCCUUGUAAGCAGGAAAGGCAGCUGGCUAGACCUCUUCUGUGUUAUUCACUCUGAUUUUAUCCUUUAUCUUCCCCUCCCAACCUCACCUCCUUUCUAACCCCAAAGCCAUGCAGCUAAUAUGACUAAGAUUGCUGGGCGUUUGCUUGGAAAUGCAAAUGAGAAUUUCUGGUAGUUUCCUAGUUUCCUUGAUCUCCUUUGUCAAGUUUAUUGAGGGGAAAGGACUCUCGGUUCCAGAUUUUGAACACCAGCUCUCUUUAAUGCCAACUUCCUGAGGAGCUGCCCAGCUCUGUAACAACCUGGAACAGAGGCGCCAUCACAGACUUGGAUCUGACGGGCGGCACAGCAAGAAGCCUUGCUCGCGUGUGGGACGUGCCCGUUCUGGCCUGGAGAGAGGGCCCAGAGACACCACCUCGCCACCGCCACCUGAUUACUCAUUGUCACCAAUGAGAUGACAAGAACUGAUGACGCAUUUCCCUUUUGCUGCCCUCUGACACCUCAGAGACCACAGCAGAGGAAAAGCUGCUUUUGUAAAACUGGAACAUGAACUACGCGGACGCCCCAGAGGAGGUCUCUGCUGCCCUCUGUUGCUGGCUUCUUAGUAACCCUAACCAUUUUUAAGAAUACAGUAUUUGGUUUCAGUAACUUUAUUAUAUGAAAAGUAUGCUCGGAGGAAAAAAUGUGUCAAAUUUAAUCAGUCUACUAAUGCUUUUCUCUGUUAUAUAGUCAAAUUUAUCAGUCUUUUCUUUAUGACUUCCGGCUUUCAUGUUCCUUAGGCUAUGG
rnacentral:lncRNA from 1 species